ACUGUUUCAGUAUACACGUGGACAACCUACCCUUAGGUCGGGGAUAAACCCGGGAAACUGGGUAUAAUACCCGAUAGUCCUCGGAUGCUGGAAUGCACCGAGGUCUAAAGCUCCGGCGCCUAAGGAUGGGUCUGCGGCCUAUCAGGUAGUAGUGGGUGUAGCGUACCUACUAGCCUACGACGGGUACGGGUUGUGAGAGCAAGAGCCCGGAGAUGGAUUCUGAGACACGAAUCCAGGCCCUACGGGGUGCAGCAGGCGCGAAAACUUUACAAUGCUGGAAACAGCGAUAAGGGAACCUCGAGUGCCAGGUUACAAAUCUGGCUGUCGUGAUGCCUAAAAAGCAUUGCAUAGCAAGGGCCGGGCAAGACCGGUGCCAGCCGCCGCGGUAACACCGGCGGCUCGAGUGGUAACCGCUAUUAUUGGGUCUAAAGGGUCUGUAGCCGGCCGGAUAAGUCUUUUGGGAAAUCUGGCAGCUUAACUGUCAGGCUUUCAGAGGAUACUGUCUGGCUCGAGGCCGGGAGAGGUGAGAGGUACUUCAGGGGUAGGGGUGAAAUCUUGUAAUCCUUGAAGGACCACCAGUGGCGAAGGCGUCUCACCAGAACGGACCUGACGGCAAGGGACGAAAGCUAGGGGCACGAACCGGAUUAGAUACCCGGGUAGUCCUAGCCGUAAACGAUACUCGCUAGGUGUCGGCCACGGUGCGACCGUUGUCGGUGCCGUAGGGAAGCCGUGAAGCGAGCCACCUGGGAAGUACGGCCGCAAGGCUGAAACUUAAAGGAAUUGGCGGGGGAGCAC
rnacentral:rRNA from 1 species